rnacentral:rRNA from 1 species
AAUACAGAGGGGGCAAGCGUUGUUCGGAAUUACUGGGCGUAAAGGGCGCGUAGGCGGCCUGCUAAGUCGAACGUGAAAUCCCCGGGCUCAACCCGGGAACUGCGUUCGAGACUGGCGGGCUUGAAUUCGGGAGAGGGAUGCGGAAUUCCAGGUGUAGCGGUGAAAUGCGUAGAUAUCUGGAGGAACACCGGUGGCGAAGGCGGCAUCCUGGACCGACAUUGACGCUGAGGCGCGAAAGCCAGGGGAGCAAACGGGA